GACGAACGCUGGCGGCGUGCCUAAUACAUGCAAGUAGAACGCUGAAGGAGGAGCUUGCUUCUCUGGAUGAGUUGCGAACGGGUGAGUAACGCGUAGGUAACCUGCCUGGUAGCGGGGGAUAACUAUUGGAAACGAUAGCUAAUACCGCAUAAUAGCAGUUAUUGCAUGAUAACUGUUUGAAAGGUGCAAUUGCACCACUACCAGAUGGACCUGCGUUGUAUUAGCUAGUUGGUGGGGUAACGGCUCACCAAGGCGACGAUACAUAGCCGACCUGAGAGGGUGAUCGGCCACACUGGGACUGAGACACGGCCCAGACUCCUACGGGAGGCAGCAGUAGGGAAUCUUCGGCAAUGGACGGAAGUCUGACCGAGCAACGCCGCGUGAGUGAAGAAGGUUUUCGGAUCGUAAAGCUCUGUUGUAAGAGAAGAACGAGGGUGAGAGUGGAAAGUUCACACUGUGACGGUAUCUUACCAGAAAGGGACGGCUAACUACGUG
rnacentral:rRNA from 1 species